UACGAAGGGGGCUAGCGUUGUUCGGAGUUACUGGGCGUAAAGGGCGCGUAGGCGGCGCACCAAGUCAGGCGUGAAAGCCCUGGGCUCAACCCGGGAAUUGCGCUUGAGACUGGUGUGCUCGAGUACGGGAGAGGAUAGUGGAAUUCCCAGUGUAGAGGUGAAAUUCGUAGAUAUUGGGAAGAACACCGGUGGCGAAGGCGGCUAUCUGGACCGUAACUGGACGCUGAGGCGCGAAAGCGUGGGGAGCAAACAGG
rnacentral:rRNA from 1 species